CAUAUGGCAAUGCACAAACCACGAACCCUCGUGGGAAAGAUUUCCGCGCAGAGGAUAUUUGGGAUCGGUCCAUAGCCAGUUACAAAGAAGCAAAAGUAGAGAAUCACGCAAACAGUAGAAACUACAGCAUGAGCUACACUCCCGAGGUUGACAGUGUUACCGAUGACCAGCAAGAUGAGGGAUAGUAUGAGAACUGGUAUAGUGUACAAAAGAAGUGUCCUGCAGUUCAUCACUUGUACUGCAUGAGCUACACUCCCGAGGUUGACAGUGUUACCGAUGACCAGUAAGAUGAGGGAUAGUAUGAGAACUGGGAUAGUGUACAGAAGAAGUGUCCUGCAGUUCAUCAUUUAAUGACACAUUAAAAACCAUAAAAGAAAAAAUAGAAUGAUGAAGAGUUUGUAUUUCUACUAUAAUCCAGUACAUAUGAGCCACCAAAGCAUUUAAUUUAGAAUAAUGAGAUAUUGGAACCAGCUGAGCGAAGAGCGCCAAUGCAAAAACUGACAAAAGCCUUGAG
rnacentral:lncRNA from 1 species